CCUACGGGUGGCAGCAGUGGGGAAUAUUGGACAAUGGGGGCAACCCUGAUCCAGCCAUGCCGCGUGUGUGAAGAAGGCCCUCGGGUUGUAAAGCACUUUCAGUGAGGAAGAACGCCUGGUGGUUAAUACCCAUCAGGAAAGACAUCACUCACAGAAGAAGCACCGUCUAACUCCGUGCCAGCAGCCGCGGUAAUACGGAGGGUGCGAGCGUUAAUCGGAAUUACUGGGCGUAAAGCGCGCGUAGGUGGCUUGAUAAGCCGGUUGUGAAAGCCCCGGGCUCAACCUGGGAACGGCAUCCGGAACUGUCAAGCUAGAGUGCAGGAGAGGAAGGUAGAAUUCCCAGUGUAGCGGUGAAAUGCGUAGAGAUCGGGAGGAAUACCAGUGGCGAAGGCGGCCUUCUGGACUGACACUGACACUGAGGUUCGAAAGCGUGGGUAGCAAACAGGAUUAGAUACCCCAGUAGUC
rnacentral:rRNA from 1 species